GACGAACGCUGGCGGCGUGCUUAACACAUGCAAGUCGAACGGAAAGGCCCUGCUUUUGUGGGGUGCUCGAGUGGCGAACGGGUGGGUAACACGUGAGUAACCUGCCCUUGACUUUGGGAUAACUUCAGGAAACUGGGGCUAAUACCGGAUAGGAGCUCCUGCUGCAUGGUGGGGGUUGGAAAGUUUCGGCGGUUGGGGAUGGACUCGCGGCUUAUCAGCUUGUUGGUGGGGUAGUGGCUUACCAAGGCUUUGACGGGUAGCCGGCCUGAGAGGGUGACCGGCCACAUUGGGACUGAGAUACGGCCCAGACUCCUACGGGAGGCAGCAGUGGGGAAUAUUGCACAAUGGGCAGAAGCCUGAUGCAGCAACGCCGCGUGCGGGACGACGGCCUUCGGGUUGUAAACCGCUUUCGCCUGUGACGAAGCGUGAGUGACGGUAAUGGGUAAAGAAGCACCGGCUAACUACGUG
rnacentral:rRNA from 1 species